rnacentral:misc_RNA from 1 species
UUUCCGUAGGUGAACCUGCGGAAGGAUCAUUAAAGUUAUAGUCCCCCGGCCCUCUGGGCUGGGGUCUUCUAUACCACCCUUUGUUUAUUACACCUUUGUUGCUUUGGCAGGCCUGCCCUCGGGCUGCUGGCUCCGGCCGGCUCGCGUCUUCCAGAGGACCUAAACUCUGUUUGUAUAUGAAGUCUGAGUACUAUAUAAUAGUUAAAACUUUCAACAACGGAUCUCUUGGUUCUG